UGGGUAGAAGAAGAAGAAGAAGAAGAAGAAGAGAAGGUUGAUUGUUGGUCAGAUCCAGUGUCUUGCUCCUCCUUCCUUCCUUUGCCAAAGAACCAGCUAAUUAAGGAGUGAAACCUAAACCGAAUAUUAGAGAAAUCCCCAAUUUAUGCUCCCAGUCCUCAAUCCCAGCCCAGCCCAGAGACCGGAGAAGAAGAAGAAGAAGAAGAAGAAGAGAAGGUUGAUUGUUGGUCAGAUCCAGUGUCUUGCUCCUCCUUCCUUCCUUUGCCAAAGAACCAGCUAAUUAAGGAGUGAAACCUAAACCGAAUAUUAGAGAAAUCCCCAAUUUAUGCUCCCAGUCCUCAAUCCCAGCCCAGCCCAGAGACCGGAGAAGAAGAAGAAGAAGAAGAAGAAGAGAAGGUUGAUUGUUGGUCAGAUCCAGUGUCUUGCUCCUCCUUCCUUCCUUUGCCAAAGAACCAGCUAAUUAAGGAGUGAAACCUAAACCGAAUAUUAGAGAAAUCCCCAAUUUAUGCUCCCAGUCCUCAAUCCCAGCCCAGCCCAGAGACCGGAGAAGAAGAAGAAGAAGAAGAAGAAGAGGGACCGGAGAGUCUGCAGUGCCUGUGCCUGAGAGUGAUAUGAAAAUGACGUGAGAAUUGGGACAUAAUUCACUCACCACUUUCCCCUCUUCCUCAAUUCUUCUUUUUUAUUUAUAC
rnacentral:lncRNA from 1 species